rnacentral:lncRNA from 1 species
GAAAUUAAAGCACUUAAAAUUCUCUACAAAUAUCAGUACCUACUUUUUUCUUCAGACGAACCUUCCGGUCUAAAGUGCAAGUUGAAAAUUGCCAAUUUUUAACGGUCUCUGCAAAACCCACUUUUUUCAUUUCAAAACUUUAUAUUUUAUAAGAAAGAUGUCAUUUGAUAAAUUUACAUCCUCCAUCCUGUCGAGAAUUCCGAUAUCCUAAUUAUCACAACAGCCCUUGAGAUGGCACCGUCAAAUGAACAUGUGACAGUGGUGGGGGAAGAUAUCGAACUUUUGGUCAUUUUGAUUGGCCUGUGUAGUUCUAACACAAAAAACGUAUUUUUUUCUGAAACCAGGAAAAAGGAAAGGUUUCGCAAAGCUUCUACAACCCUCAUAUGGCUGCUGAAAAAAUCCUAAUGAGCCAUAUCUUAUUCCUACAUGCGAUAAGUGGUUGCGAUACUACUUCUGCAUUGUGUAAUCAAGGGAAACUGAAUUUUUUUAAAGUCCUGCAGAAGAACACAAACUUGCAACCAACCAUUGAGGCUUUUAAUGACCCUAAUGCACAUCACGAUGAGGUUGCCACAACAGGAAACAUGUUCUCAUGGCUCUAUAUGGAAGAAAAAUAGAGACCAGUCUGAACGAUUUGAGAUACAGACAAUACGUAUCUUCAUCAUAUAAAAAUAAGACCAACAUUACCUCAUUACCACCUACCUUCUACCCUAACGAAGGCCUACAUUAUUCCCCAAUUUGCACAUCAUGCGAAGGAAUGUGUGAAAACGUUGAGCGCCCGGAAAAUAGCUCUAAUAUAGACGUAGCGUAGAAGAGACUGAAGAAAGAGACAGAGGAGAACGACCCCUGACACUGCAGGGAGCAAUCAGACCCUGAGCCAGAACAUGAUGCCAUCGAAGAACCUCAGCACAAUGCGGAAGAUAUGUUUAAUUUCACAAUCUAUUUUGCAAUCGCCACCUCUCCUUUAGAACUGACACCAUCUCUUUUAUCUACCAGAACGAGCAGAAUAUAUAUCGGUACCGGGACCCAUCGCCACCGGAGAACCACAACCAGGACCUUCUAAAAGACAACGGCUCAUAUAAUUUUAUAUUUUACAACAUGUUGUAUUUUAAUUUGGUUUGUAUUUUAAUUUGUAAUAUUAAUAGUUACGCUAU